rnacentral:misc_RNA from 1 species
UGGGAAACGGGAGUGCGAUUCGGCGUGAGUAAAAGUGUUGCCGCCUUUUUAAUCAUAAUUCAUUGGCCCAAAACUGUUUCUAUCCACAUAAUCAAGACUGUCUUGGACCCGAAUCUUUGUGAACUUAAUAUGAUCCAUAAGAUGAUGGAUGGAUGGUCAAGAGAAACAGUGCGCAACACCCUCCGAGAAGAGCUUAUCAGUUUGACUGAGCUUACCAAAGCCAGUGAAGCAGAAAUUGAAAACUCCCUUCAGACAAAUUUGGAGUUUCUUCGCCGGAUAGUGUCCCAAGUCCGUGGCAGUGCUGCAGGACCUUUAUUACCAAAAACUCCAAAAGCUCUUCAUAAAAAACCCGCAAAACGCAUUGAGACCAUUCAUGAAGAUGAAUCAGUUGAGUUCGAGGUUACUCGCACCACAAGCAUUGCUUCUGAACCUAAAGAUCGAGAUUCUGAUGGGUCCCAACGUAGAUCGACAAGGACCGCAUCGAAAAAAGCUGCUAGCACUAUAAAGCAACAACAGUCACUGACUCUUUAUACUAAAUCGCGAAAAUCCUCUCAGGACACAAAUAAAACUAAAAGGAGUGCUGCAAAGAUCAAAAUAGAAUCAAGUGAUUCUGAAAAAGAAUGUACAAUACCUCCGAAGCAGUCAAAAGGAAGAAAACCAUCAGUGCAGAAACAACACGAGAACAGUCCCCAGGCUUUACAACCAGAGAAGAAAAAUGGUACAUUUGUUCUGGACAAGACUUAUGAUCACGAAUCUUGGAUAACCAAAAAGAAAGAUUCAUCUAGCAAACGUAAACACGACCAAACUAGAUCACCAUCACCAUGUCCCCCAAACAACCACAAAAAUUCUAGGAGUCGUAGUGGGGAGCCUUUGGCUAAGAAGGGCAAUUUCAUAGAUGAAUCUCAUGUUAAUUCUGACAUCAACGAUACUCUCGAAUCGUCUAUCUAUGAAGACGCCGUUGGUAGACCUGCACCGAUACAUAAUUCAACUAAGAUAACUGACAUGACUGUGACAAUAGAUUCUAAAUCUCAUGAGUCAGCAAAAACUUCAAACCCAAAAUCGAGGUCAUCAAAAAGUGCUUCCCAUACCAAAAACCAUGUACCGAUGAAUGUAACAGUUGUAUUGGAGAAUUUAUCAGCACAAGUCAGUUAUCCCAAAACUACUGAGUACAUAAAAUCAGAGGAUGAAGAAGUUGGUUGUACACCAGAAGUUAAAAACUUUUCUAAGGGUGCUUUACUACAAGCAUAUCGCGCAAAGUUAAACAAAGAAUCAAAGAGCACUCGCAAAGCAAAUGCUCUGUUUAGUCCUUAUGCUACAGAUUCUGUCAAGAAACGUGUAGAGGCUUUUGAACAAGUUGGAUUAAAUAGCCCAAAAUCUGUUGAGAUAAACGCUCCGACAAGGGUAACUAGAACUAAAACUCGAGCCAUGGCCGCAGCGGAGACAAUAACCAACAUUGUUCCACCUAUGCAACCUGUCCAAAGUGUUGCCCAAAAAUUAGCUCGUAAAUCUCUUGCCAAAGCUAAGAAGAUUUCAUUAGCCAGACAGAUCAAAGAUAGCGAGGAGAGCAAAGAGAAUGAUCGUUCGAGUAGUGCAUCUAUGAAAUCUAAAAAAUUAUUGGUCAUCAAUGAGAAAACGAUGCAAAAACAACAGUUGAGAACAACUCCGCUGACGAAAAGUCGUCUCCAGCAGCCCAUGUCUGUUAAUCGCUUACAUCAGACACCUAUGAAUGGACAAACUUUUUCCAAUCACACAGGAGUAAUGUCUGCGUCUCGUGGGAACAUAAUUACAAACAUGGACUCAUUCCUACAGUCAGCUAAACAAGCUCAGCAAAUAAGUUUGGCAGAAAAAAUUGAAGAGAAACGUAGAAAAGCUAACGAAGAAGAUGUUAGGAGAAAAAGGGAGGAGGCUUUGAAGGCUAUGGCUGAAGAAAAGAAAAGAAAGAGAGAAGAGAAGCAGCUGAAGAACAAAUUGGCAAGAGAAGCCAAAGAAAAACUAGAUAUGGAGAAACGUCUGAAAGCUGAAAAAGAAAGAGAAGAGAAAGCAAAACUUGCUCAGCAAAUCCAGGAGGAACAACGUAAAGAGGCUGAUAGAAAAAGACUUCUCCAACUACAACGUGCACAGGAGACAGAAGAAAGGCGUAAACAAGAAGAGCAGUUGCGAUUACAGCGAUUACAAGAGCAAGAAGAAAUGGAGCGUCAGUUAGCCGAACAAAAACGAAGAGAACAGGAAGCUGCAGAAAAACAGCAUCAACGUCGUCUCGCAGAAGCAAAAACUCAGCAACAAGCAGCAGCUGAAGCUAUGAAGAUCAAGGCUCAAUAUCAAUCAAAAGUGAAACAGAACACAAUAGCUAUUCAACCAAAAAUGGUACCAGCCCCAAGUUCUUAUAAAUUGGAUAGUGAACCUAGUGACGACGAUGCCUCAGACAAUGAAUCUGCACCCAAACACGCUAUCCCCGCUUGGGCUACGGCUCAAGUCCGUAGAAAUCGAUUGGCAAUGCAAGAACACAUUCCAGUAUACGAAGUUCACAGAUAUUUCAAUAGCAAACAGUGCACGCCAGAUCUUUCAAAAAUAUUCAAGGGCAUUGACAAAAGGCAACUGCAACGCACAUCAAGUGCUAUUUGGAAGACGCCACCUCGUUACUCGAUGAUGUACAGAGACUGAUCGUUCACUGAUUUGUUCCAAAGAUCUAAUGGAUCUACUUUCAUUUUCUUCAUACAUUCAGUGCUAGUGGAAUUAUUGACCCACCUGUCAUCAAGUAUUCGUUUUUGGGGUCUGUUGCCAAUGACAUGACAUAAUCACCUAAUAC